UAUCUCCUGUGGCCUAGUAGUUAGAGCGUCCGCCUCAGACGCGGGAGGUCGCAGGUUCGAUCAUCGGCCGAGUUAC